ACAAACUUGGUCAUUUAGAGGAAGUAAAAGUCGUAACAAGGUUUCCGUAGGUGAACCUGCGGAAGGAUCAUUAUUGAAUAAAAUUUGGUUGGGUUGAUGCUGGCUCUUUUUUUGAGCAAAGUGCACACUCAUACCAUUUUUAAACCCCAUGUGCAUCUUUCUGUAGAUUUGAAAUUUAUCAAAGGCCUUUUUGGUUUGAGAAUUGCGUUCGCUUUUCUUGAUUUUCAGAUCUAUGUAUAAUCUAUAUACUCCAAUAAAUGUAAUAGAAUGAAUGGUCAAACAUAUAAUUGUACAACUUUCAACAACGGAUCUCUUGGCUCUCGCAUCGAUGAAGAACGCAGC
rnacentral:misc_RNA from 1 species